rnacentral:rRNA from 1 species
GAACGCUGGCGGCGUGCUUAACACAUGCAAGUCGAACGGGGCGAAGUGAUAGCUUGCUAUUAUGGAGCCUAGUGGCAAACGGGUGAGUAACGCGUAGGCAACCUGCCCUUCAGAUGGGGACAACACCUCGAAAGGGGUGCUAAUACCGAAUGACGUUUCCUAGUCGCAUGACCUGGAAACCAAAGGCCGGGCAACCGGUCACUGAAGGAUGGGCAUGCGUUGUAUUAGCUAGUUGGUGGGGUAACGGCUCACCAAGGCGACGAUACAUAGGGGGACUGAGAGGUUAACCCCCCACAUUGGUACUGAGACACGGACCAAACUCCUACGGGAGGCAGCAGUGAGGAAUAUUGGUCAAUGGACGCAAGUCUGAACCAGCCAUGCCGCGUGCAGGAAGACGGCUCUAUGAGUUGUAAACUGCUUUUGUAUGAGGGUAAAAUUAGAUACGUGUAUCUAACUGCAAGUAUCAUACGAAUAAGGAUCGGCUAACUCCGUG